rnacentral:rRNA from 1 species
UACGUAGGGGGCAAGCGUUGUCCGGAUUUAUUGGGCGUAAAGAGCGUGUAGGCGGCUAGAUAGGUCCGUUGUGAAAACUCGAGGCUCAACCUCGAGACGCCGAUGGAAACCAUGUGGCUAGAGUCCGGAAGAGGAGAGUGGAAUUCCUGGUGUAGCGGUGAAAUGCGCAGAUAUCAGGAAGAACACCCGUGGCUAAGGCGGCUCUCUAGUACGGUACUGACGCUGAGACGCGAAAGCGUGGGGAGCGAACAGG